GACGAACGCUGGCGGCGUGCCUAAUACAUGCAAGUAGAACGCUGAAGAGAGGAGCUUGCUCUUCUUGGAUGAGUUGCGCACGGGUGAGUAACGCGUAGGUAACCUGCCUUGUAGCGGGGGAUAACUAUUGGAAACGAUAGCUAAUACCGCAUAACAAUGGAUGACACAUGUCAUUUAUUUGAAAGGGGCAAUUGCUCCACUACAAGAUGGACCUGCGUUGUAUUAGCUAGUAGGUGAGGUAAUGGCUCACCUAGGCGACGAUACAUAGCCGACCUGAGAGGGUGAUCGGCCACACUGGGACUGAGACACGGCCCAGACUCCUACGGGAGGCAGCAGUAGGGAAUCUUCGGCAAGGGGGGCAACCCUGACCGAGCAACGCCGCGUGAGUGAAGAAGGUUUUCGGAUCGUAAAGCUCUGUUGUAAGUCAAGAACGGGUGUGAGAGUGGAAAGUUCACACUGUGACGGUAGCUGACCAGAAAGGGACGGCUAACUACGUG
rnacentral:rRNA from 1 species